rnacentral:lncRNA from 1 species
UUCAUAACUUUGUUUCAGCUUCUGUGGAGCCAGCUCUUCUGUACAGAACCUAGGACUGCUUUUUAGCAGGUUCAGCUGAUUCUCUGCUCUGUUUUCUAACGUGCAAUGUCCAUUUUCACAGCUUCCCAGCCCUUCAUUUUUGGAUACCUCUUUGCAGCUAAAUUCACACAGAGAAUCCUCAUUUUGACUUGGGUUCCUAUUUGGUGCCAGCUCAGGAAAUUCAGUGAACAGCCAGUGCCUGUCCUUGAAGAAGCCAUUUUCAUGGAUUUUAUAAAAGUCAUCCCAGUAUCUCUUAGCAUUCACCUCAUAUUCUUCUUGUUUAUCUUGUGGCAAUAGCUGUGAGCUGUUCUCUUGAACUUUACUCUUGGCAGUGGCUUCCUGCUCUUCUGACCAUUCCACAUUAUCCCAGGCGUUAUGCUGGAAGAGGCGGGUGGGGUCGGUGAGGAAGCGCCUCCCGAACGGCCGCCGCCGCUCCGGCGCCUCGCUGGGCGCCGCCAUGACUGGCUGG